rnacentral:rRNA from 1 species
GACGAACGCUGGCGGCGUGCUUAACACAUGCAAGUCGAACGGAAAGGCCCUGCUUUUGUGGGGUGCUCGAGUGGCGAACGGGUGAGUAACACGUGAGUAACCUGCCCUUGACUUUGGGAUAACUUCAGGAAACUGGGGCUAAUACCGGAUAGGAGCUCCUGCUGCAUGGUGGGGGUUGGAAAGUUUCGGCGGUUGGGGAUGGACUCGCGGCUUAUCAGCUGGUUGGUGGGGUAGUGGCUUACCACGGCUUGGACGGGUAGCCGGCCUGGGAGGGUGACCGGCCACAUUGGGACUGGGAUCCGGCGCGGAGUCGUAGGGGAGGAAGCAGUGGGGAAUGUUGCACAAUGGGCGGAAGCCUGAUGCAGCGACGCCGCGUGCGGGAGGACGGCCUUCGGGUUGGAAACCGCUUUAGCCGGUGACGAAGCGGGAGUGACGGUAAUGGGUAAAGAAGCACCGGCUAACUACGUG